rnacentral:rRNA from 1 species
UACGGAGGGUGCGAGCGUUGUCCGGAAUCAUUGGGCGUAAAGCGCGUGUAGGCGGCUGGCUAAGUCCGCUCUGAAAGCCCGGGGCUCAACCCCGGGAGGCGGGUGGAUACUGGUCAGCUCGAGUCCGGAAGAGGAGUGUGGAAUUCCUGGUGUAGCGGUGAAAUGCGCAGAUAUCAGGAGGAACACCAAUGGCGAAGGCAGCACUCUGGGACGGUACUGGACGCUGAGACGCGAAAGCGUGGGGAGCAAACAGG